rnacentral:rRNA from 1 species
CUACGGGACGCUCCAGUGAGGAAUAUUGCGCAAUGGGGGAAACCCUGACGCAGCAACGCCGCGUGAGUGAAGAAGGCCUUAGGGUCGUAAAGCUCUGUCAAGUGGGAAAAACGUCACAUAGUUAAUAGCUAGGUGAUUUGAUGGUACCACUAGAGGAAGCACCGGCUAACUCCGUGCCAGCAGCCGCGGUAAUACGGAGGGUGCUAGCGUUGUUCGGAAUUACUGGGCGUAAAGAGCGUGUAGGCGGUUUGGCAAGUCAGAUGUGAAAGCCCUGGGCUCAACCCAGGAAGUGCAUUUGAAACUGCCUUUCUAGAGUAUGGGAGAGGAGAGUGGAAUUCCCAGUGUAGAGGUGAAAUUCGUAGAUAUUGGGAGGAACACCCGUGGCGAAGGCGACUCUCUGGACCAAUACUGACGCUGAGACGCGAAAGCGUGGGGAGCAAACAGGAUUAGAUACCCUCGUAGUC